rnacentral:rRNA from 1 species
GACGAACGCUGGCGGCGUGCCUAAUACAUGCAAGUCGAACGCAGUGGGGACGGGUGAGUAACACGUGGGUAACCUCCCAUCAGAGGGGAUAACACUUGGAAACAGGUGCUAAACCGAUACUGAUGGAUGGACCCGCGGUGCAUUAGCUAGGUGGUGAGGUAACGGCUCACCAAGGCCACGAUGCAUAGCCGGCCUGAGAGGGGGAUCGGCCAAACUGGGAACGAGAACCGGCCCAUACUUCCAAGGGAGGCAGCAGUAGGGAAACGUCCGGAAUGGGCGAAAGGUUGAACCAGCCAAGGCGCGGGAAGGAAGAAGGGUUUACGGUUGUAAAAACUUUUUGGUUGGGAAGCGGUAUCUAACCAGAAAGCCACGGCUAACUACGUGCCAGCAGCCGCGGUAAUUC